rnacentral:lncRNA from 1 species
AAUAAUGUUUCAAAAUUUCUUCAAAACAUCGGUUUAAAACAGCAUGUGUAGAUGGGUAUUGUAAUUUAUUCACACCACUCUCGUAACUUUUUCAUAAUCGUAGCUGCAAUUCUUUCAUUCUAUCAGCUUUUCCCAGUGGAUCUGUCUCAGCGUACACCUUAUCAAUGCUAACCUCUUUGAUUCACUAUUUGCCCACAUAUUUCUCAGAUAGAGGAAUGUUAGCAUGAUUGACAAAACAAUUUUACGAUAGCAUAAACAGUGAUUUAUCUCAUCCUAACUACUCUACAAACACUAACAUUUUUAAUGCAACUAC